UCUUGAGAGCGGCGGACGGGUGAGUAAUGCCUAGGAAUCUGCCUGGUAGUGGGGGAUAACGUUCGGAAACGGACGCUAAUACCGCAUACGUCCUACGGGAGAAAGCAGGGGACCUUCGGGCCUUGCGCUAUCAGAUGAGCCUAGGUCGGAUUAGCUAGUUGGUGGGGUAAUGGCUCACCAAGGCGACGAUCCGUAACUGGUCUGAGAGGAUGAUCAGUCACACUGGAACUGAGACACGGUCCAGACUCCUACGGGAGGCAGCAGUGGGGAAUAUUGGACAAUGGGCGAAAGCCUGAUCCAGCCAUGCCGCGUGUGUGAAGAAGGUCUUCGGAUUGUAAAGCACUUUAAGUUGGGAGGAAGGGCAGUAAAUUAAUACUUUGCUGUUUUGACGUUACCGACAGAAUAAGCACCGGCUAACUCUGUGCCAGCAGCCGCGGUAAUACAGAGGGUGCAAGCGUUAAUCGGAAUUACUGGGCGUAAAGCGCGCGUAGGUGGUUCGU
rnacentral:rRNA from 1 species